GAUGAAGAACGCAGCGAAAUGCGAUAAGUAAUGUGAAUUGCAGAAUUCAGUGAAUCAUCGAAUCUUUGAACGCACCUUGCGCCCUUUGGCUAUUCCGAAGGGCAUGCCUGUUUGAGUAUCAUAAACACCUCAACUCUCAUGGUUUGCCAUGAUGAGCUUGGACUCUGGGGGUCUUGCUGGCUUAUGGUCAGCUCCUCUCAAAUGAAUUAGCUUUCCAGUGUUUGGUUGGCAUCACAGGUGUGAUAACUAUCUACGCUUGUGGUUUCCACCAGGUAACCUUCAGUAACAUGGGGGUUUGCUGGAGCUCAUAAAUGUCUCUCCUCAGUGGGGACAGCUCUUUGAACAUUUGAUCUCAAAUCAGGUAGGACUACCCGCUGAACUUAAGCAUAUCAAUAAGCGGAGGA
rnacentral:misc_RNA from 1 species